UCCAAUCAGGAGCAGUUGGUGAUCUCAUU
rnacentral:piRNA from 1 species